rnacentral:rRNA from 1 species
AUUGAACGCUAGCGGCAUGCUUAACACAUGCAAGUCGAACGGUAACAGGCCUAGCUUGCUAGGUGCUGACGAGUGGCGGACGGGUGAGUAAUGCGUAGGGAUCUGCCUUGUAGUGGGGGAUAACCUGGGGAAACCCAGGCUAAUACCGCAUGAGCCCUAAGGGGGAAAGCAGGGGACCGAAAGGCCUUGUGCUAUGAGAUGAACCUACGUCGGAUUAGCUAGUUGGUAGGGUAAAGGCCUACCAAGGCGACGAUCCGUAGCUGGUCUGAGAGGACGACCAGCCACACUGGGACUGAGAACUGCCCAGACACCUACGGGUGGCUGCAGUCGAGAAUCUUCGGCAAUGAGCGCAAGCUUGACCGAGCGACGCCGCGUGCGGGAUGAAGGCCUUCGGGUUGUAAACCGCUGUCGUAGGGGAGCAAGAGAUGAGGGUACUCCCUCUGAUUUGAGCGAUCCUAGGAGGAAGGACGGGCUAAGUUCGUGCCAGCAGCCGCAGUAAAAC